rnacentral:rRNA from 1 species
GACGAACGCUGGCGGCGUGCCUAAUACAUGCAAGUAGGACGCAGUUGCGAACGGGUGAGUAACGCGUAGGUAACUACCUAUUAGAGGGGGAUAACUAUUGGAAACGAUAGCUAAUACCGCAUACUAGUAGAUGGACCUGCGUUGAAUUAGCUAGUAGGUAGGGUAAUGGCCUACCUAGGCAACGUUCCAUAGCCGACCUGAUAGGGUGAUCGGCCCGACUGGGACCGGGAAACGGCCCAGAUCCCUCCGGGAGGCAGCAGUAGGUAAUCUUAGGCAAUGGGGGGAACGCUGACCGAGCAACGCCGCGGGAGUGAAGAAGGUUUUCGGAUCGUAAAGCUCUGUUGUUAAGGAAGCGGUACUUAACCAGAAAGGGACGGCUAACUACGUGCCAGCCGCCGCGGUAAUAC